GACGAACGCUGGCGGCGUGCUUAACACAUGCAAGUCGAACGGGUCUGCCCUGUUUUUUGCGGGGUGGGUCAGUGGCGAACGGGUGAGUAACACGUGAGUAACCUGCCCCUCACUUCUGGAUAACCGCUUGAAAGGGUGGCUAAUACGGGGUGUUCUGGCUGUGCCGCAUGGUGUGGCUGGGAAAGAUUCACUUUUGUGGUGUUUUGGUGGGGGAUGGGCUCGCGGCCUAUCAGCUUGUUGGUGGGGUGAUGGCCUGCCAAGGCUUUGACGGGUAGCCGGCCUGAGAGGGUGGGCGGUCACACUGGGACUGAGAGACGGCCCAGACUCCUGCGGGAGGCAGCAGUGGGGGGUAUUGCACAAUGGGCGGAAGCCUGAUGCAGCGACGUCGCGUGAGGGAUGGAGGCCUUCGGGUUGUGAACCUCUUUCGCCGGUGAAGAAGGUCCUGCUCUUUGGGGUGGGGUUGACGGUAGCCGGGUUAUGAAGCGCCGGCUAACUACGUG
rnacentral:rRNA from 1 species